AUUGAACGCUGGCGGCAUGCCUUACACAUGCAAGUCGAACGGUAACAGGUCUUCGGAUGCUGACGAGUGGCGAACGGGUGAGUAAUACAUCGGAACGUGCCCGAUCGUGGGGGAUAACGAGGCGAAAGCUUUGCUAAUACCGCAUACGAUCUACGGAUGAAAGCGGGGGAUCUUCGGACCUCGCGCGGACGGAGCGGCCGAUGGCAGAUUAGGUAGUUGGUGGGAUAAAAGCUUACCAAGCCGACGAUCUGUAGCUGGUCUGAGGGGAUGAUCAGCCACACUGGGACUGAGACACGGCCCAGACUCCUACGGGAGGCAGCAGUGGGGAAUUUUGGACAAUAGGCGAAAGCCUGAUCCAGCCAUGCCGCGUGCAGGAUGAAGGCCUUCGGGUUGUAAACUGCUUUUGUACGGAACGAAAAGCCUCUUUCUAAUAAAGAGGGGUCAUGACGGUACCGUAAGAAUAAGCACCGGCUAACUACGUG
rnacentral:rRNA from 1 species